AUUGAACGCUGGCGGCAUGCUUUACACAUGCAAGUCGAACGGUAACAGGCCGCAAGGUGCUGACGAGUGGCGAACGGGUGAGUAAUGCAUCGGAACGUGCCCAGUCGUGGGGGAUAACGCAGCGAAAGCUGCGCUAAUACCGCAUACGAUCUAUGGAUGAAAGCGGGGGACCGUAAGGCCUCGCGCGAUUGGAGCGGCCGAUGUCAGAUUAGGUAGUUGGUGGGGUAAAGGCUCACCAAGCCAACGAUCUGUAGCUGGUCUGAGAGGACGACCAGCCACACUGGGACUGAGACACGGCCCAGACUCCUACGGAGGCAGCAGUGGGGAAUCUUGGACAAUGGGCGCAAGCCUGAUCCAGCAAUGCCGCGUGCAGGAAGAAGGCCUUCGGGUUGUAAACUGCUUUUGUACGGAACGAAACGGUCCUGGUUAAUACCCGGGGCUAAUGACGGUACCGUAAGAAUAAGCACCGGCUAACUACGUGCCAGCCGCCGCGGUAACAC
rnacentral:rRNA from 1 species